GGAUAUAGCUCAGUCGGUAGAGUGCUUGCCUAGCAUACAUAAGGUCCUGGGUUCAAUCCCCAGCACCA
rnacentral:tRNA from 1 species